rnacentral:rRNA from 1 species
CGGAUUAAUUCGAAGCAACGCGAAGAACCUUACCAGGUCUUGACAUCCCCUGACAACCCGAGAGAUCGGGCGUUCCCCCUUCGGGGGACAGGGUGACAGGUGGUGCAUGGUUGUCGUCAGCUCGUGUCGUGAGAUGUUGGGUUAAGUCCCGCAACGAGCGCAACCCUUCGACCUUAGUUGCCAGCAUUCAGUUGGGCACUCUAAGGUGACUGCCGGCUAAAAGUCGGAGGAAGGUGGGGAUGACGUCAAAUCAUCAUGCCCCUUAUGACCUGGGCUACACACGUGCUACAAUGGGCGGUACAAAGGGUCGCGAACCCGCGAGGGGGAGCCAAUCCCAAAAAGCCGCUCUCAGUUCGGAUUGCAGGCUGCAACUCGCCUGCAUGAAGCCGGAAUCGCUAGUAAUCGCGGAUCAGCAUGCCGCGGUGAAUACGUUCCCGGGCCUU